GCGCGUAGGUGGUAGUGAAAGUCUAUGGUGGAAUCUUAGGGCUUAACCCUAAAACUGCCUUGGAAACUUCAUUACUUGAGUCAGUGAGGGGAGGGUAGAAUUCCUGGUGUAGCGGUGAAAUGCGUAGAUAUCAGGAGGAAGGCCGGUGGCGAAGGCGGCCCUCUGGCGCUGAACUGACGCUGAGGCGCGAAAGCGUGGGUAGCAAACAGGAUUAGAUACCCUGGUAGUCCACGCCCUAAACGGUGGGUACUAGGUGUAGGGCUCGUAAGGGUUCUGUGCCGAAGGGAAACCAUUAAGUACCCCGCCUGGGGAGUACGGCCGCAAGGUUGAA
rnacentral:rRNA from 1 species